AUUGAACGCUGGCGGCAUGCCUUACACAUGCAAGUCGAACGGUAACGGGCCUUCGGGUGCCGACGAGUGGCGAACGGGUGAGUAAUACAUCGGAACGUGCCCGAUCGUGGGGGAUAACGAGGCGAAAGCUUUGCUAAUACCGCAUACGAUCUACGGAUGAAAGCCGGGGACCGCAAGGCCUUGCGCGGGCGGAGCGGCCGAUGGCUGAUUAGGUAGUUGGUGGGAUAAAAGCUUACCAAGCCGACGAUCUGUAGCUGGUCUGAGAGGAUGAUCGGCCACACUGGAACUGAGACACGGCCAAGACUCCUACGGGAGGCAGCAGUGGGGAAUUUUGGACAAUGGGGGCAAGCCUGAUCCAGCCAUGCCGCGUGCAGGAUGAAGGCCUUCGGGUUGUAAACUGCUUUUGUACGGAACGAAAAGCCUUCUUUUAAUACAGGAGGGUCAUGACGGUACCGUAAGAAUAAGCACCGGCUAACUACGUG
rnacentral:rRNA from 1 species